AUACGUACCUGGGAGGAUAGACUCCAUGAUCACGUCAGUGGUUCUCUCAAGGCGAAACUCAGCCACUGCACUCCCGGGUCUGUUGACCUUUGUGAAUUCUUCAAAUGUGGAAAUCUUACCUGCACGUUUUAUGGUAGUGGGGUGGGGGACUGCGUACGAGCUCUCCCCCG